rnacentral:rRNA from 1 species
GAUGAACGCUGGCGGCGUGCUUAACACAUGCAAGUCGAGCGAAGCACUUUAAAGUUUUCGGACAGAGAGGUGACUGAGCGGCGGACGGGUGAGUAACGCGUGGGUAACCUGCCUCACACAGGGGGAUAACAGUCAGAAAUGACUGCUAAUACCGCAUAAGCGCACAGUACCGCAUGGUACGGUGUGAAAAACUCCGGUGGUGUGAGAUGGACCCGCGUCUGAUUAGGUAGUUGGUGGGGCAAAAGGCCUACCAAGCCGACGAUCCAUAGCCGACCUGAGAGGGUGCCGGCACAUUGGGACUGAGACACGGGCCCAAAUCCUACGGGAGGCAGCAGUGGGGAAUAUGCACAAUGGGCGAAGCCUGAUGCAGCGACGCCGCGUGAGCGAAGAAGUAUUUCGGG